GAAUUAGCGGGGUCCUCUUUGCUGGUCCUCGACAUGUGAUAAGAUGUUUCCAUGUCUUGGUUUCUGGCUCUGUUGCUUUUGGGACCCGCUUCUAACCGUCUCAACGAGACAAUGUUUGAGCGCGUCUCCCUUCUCGGGAGACCCUCUCGACCUCACGAACCCUUGACCUCAAAUCGGGUGAGACUACCCGCUGAACUUAA
rnacentral:misc_RNA from 1 species